rnacentral:rRNA from 1 species
AGAGUUUGAUCAUGGCUCAGAUUGAACGCUGGCGGCAGGCCUAACACAUGCAAGUCGAGCGGUAGCACAGAGAGCUUGCUCUCGGGUGACGAGCGGCGGACGGGUGAGUAAUGUCUGGGAAACUGCCUGAUGGAGGGGGAUAACUACUGGAAACGGUAGCUAAUACCGCAUAACGUCGCAAGACCAAAGUGGGGGACCUUCGGGCCUCAUGCCAUCAGAUGUGCCCAGAUGGGAUUAGCUAGUAGGUGGGGUAACGGCUCACCUAGGCGACGAUCCCUAGCUGGUCUGAGAGGAUGACCAGCCACACUGGAACUGAGACACGGUCCAGACUCCUACGGGAGGCAGCAGUGGGGAAUAUUGCACAAUGGGCGCAAGCCUGAUGCAGCCAUGCCGCGUGUGUGAAGAAGGCCUUCGGGUUGUAAAGCACUUUCAGCGGGGAGGAAGGCGAUAAGGUUAAUAACCUUGUCGAUUGACGUUACCCGCAGAAGAAGCACCGGCUAACUCCGUGCCAGCAGCCGCGGUAAUACGGAGGGUGCAAGCGUUAAUCGGAAUUACUGGGCGUAAAGCGCACGCAGGCGGUCUGUCAAGUCGGAUGUGAAAUCCCCGGGCUCAACCUGGGAACUGCAUUCGAAACUGGCAGGCUAGAGUCUUGUAGAGGGGGGUAGAAUUCCAGGUGUAGCGGUGAAAUGCGUAGAGAUCUGGAGGAAUACCGGUGGCGAAGGCGGCCCCCUGGACAAAGACUGACGCUCAGGUGCGAAAGCGUGGGGAGCAAACAGGAUUAGAUACCCUGGUAGUCCACGCCGUAAACGAUGUCGAUUUGGAGGUUGUGCCCUUGAGGCGUGGCUUCCGGAGCUAACGCGUUAAAUCGACCGCCUGGGGAGUACGGCCGCAAGGUUAAAACUCAAAUGAAUUGACGGGGGCCCGCACAAGCGGUGGAGCAUGUGGUUUAAUUCGAUGCAACGCGAAGAACCUUACCUGGUCUUGACAUCCACAGAACUUUCCAGAGAUGGAUUGGUGCCUUCGGGAACUGUGAGACAGGUGCUGCAUGGCUGUCGUCAGCUCGUGUUGUGAAAUGUUGGGUUAAGUCCCGCAACGAGCGCAACCCUUAUCCUUUGUUGCCAGCGGUCCGGCCGGGAACUCAAAGGAGACUGCCAGUGAUAAACUGGAGGAAGGUGGGGAUGACGUCAAGUCAUCAUGGCCCUUACGACCAGGGCUACACACGUGCUACAAUGGCAUAUACAAAGAGAAGCGACCUCGCGAGAGCAAGCGGACCUCAUAAAGUAUGUCGUAGUCCGGAUUGGAGUCUGCAACUCGACUCCAUGAAGUCGGAAUCGCUAGUAAUCGUAGAUCAGAAUGCUACGGUGAAUACGUU